rnacentral:rRNA from 1 species
GACGAACGCUGGCGGCGUGCUUAACACAUGCAAGUCGAACGGAAAGGCCCUUACCGGGGUACACGAGUGGCGGACGGGGGCGUAACACGUGAGUAACCUGCCCACAACUAUAGGAUAACGCUAGGAAACUGGUGCUAAUACUGGUAAUGUGCUACUGCUGCAUGGGGGGGGUUGGAAAGCUCCGGCGGUUGUGGGUGGACUCGAGGCCUAGCGGCUCGCUGGGGGGGUAGUGGCGUACCGAGGCGGCGUCGGGAAGCCGGGCUGGGUGGGUGACCGACCGCACUGGGUCUUAGGGACGGCCCAGGCUCCGACUGUUGGCAGCAGGGGGGAAUCUUGCCCGAGCGGCGCCAGCCUGGUGCAGCAGGGCCGCGGGUGGGAAGACUGCCUUCGGGUUGUAAACCGCUUUCAGCAGUGACGAAGCUUUUUGUGACGGUACCUGCAGAAGAAGCACCGGCUAACUACGUG